rnacentral:rRNA from 1 species
CAUCCUUUCCUGUGCCGCACGGAUCCUUUGCUGAUAAGGACAACAACAGCAGCGAAUACUCGAUGACGAUGCCGCAGAGUCCAGCUACU